rnacentral:rRNA from 1 species
CCUACGGGAGGCAGCAGUAGGGAAUCUUUCACAAUGGGGGAAAGCCUGAUGGAGCAACGCCGCGUGCAGGAUGAAGGACUUCGGUAUGUAAACCGCUAUUAUAAGCGAGGAAUAUGAUGGUAACUUAUGAAUAAGGCUCGGCUAACUACGUGCCAGCAGCCGCGGUCAUACGUAGGGUGCGAGCAUUAUCCGGAGUUACUGGGUGUAAAGAGGUGCGUAAGGGGCAAGAUAAGUAGCGAGGGAAACCUGUUGGGUAAACCAUGCAGACUGUUAGAGAAACUGUGAAGCUCGAGAGCGAUAGGGGUAAGCGGAAUUCCUAGUGUAGGGGUGAAAUCCGUAGAUAUUAGAAGGAACACCAGUGGCGAAGGCGAGUUACUGGGACGGUUCUGACACUAAGGCACGAAAGCGUAGGGAGCAAACGGGAUUAGAUACCCUAGUAGUC